UGGGGAAUAUUGCACAAUGGGCGCAAGCCUGAUGCAGCCAUGCCGCGUGUAUGAAGAAGGCCUUCGGGUUGUAAAGUACUUUCAGCGGGGAGGAAGGGAGUAAAGUUAAUACCUUUGCUCAUUGACGUUACCCGCAGAAGAAGCACCGGCUAACUCCGUGCCAGCAGCCGCGGUAAUACGGAGGGUGCAAGCGUUAAUCGGAAUUACUGGGCGUAAAGCGCACGCAGGCGGUUUGUUAAGUCAGAUGUGAAAUCCCCGGGCUCAACCUGGGAACUGCAUCUGAUACUGGCAAGCUUGAGUGUCGUAGAGGGGGGUAGAAUUCCAGGUGUAGCGGUGAAAUGCGUACAGAGCUGGAGGAAUACCGGUGGCGAAGGCGGCCCCCUGGACGAAGACUGACGCUCAGGUGCGAAAGCGUGGGGAGCAAACAGG
rnacentral:rRNA from 1 species